rnacentral:rRNA from 1 species
GCGGCUACCUAUACAUGCAGUCGAGCGAAUGGAUUAAGAGCUUGCUCUUAUGAAGUUAGCGGCGGACGGGUGAGUAACACGUGGGUAACCUGCCCAUAAGACUGGGAUAACUCCGGGAAACCGGGGCUAAUACCGGAUAACAUUUUGAACUGCAUGGUUCGAAAUUGAAAGGCGGCUUCGGCUGUCACUUAUGGAUGGACCCGCGUCGCAUUAGCUAGUUGGUGAGGUAACGGCUCACCAAGGCAACGAUGCGUAGCCGACCUGAGAGGGUGAUCGGCCACACCGGCACUGAGACACGGCCCAGACUCCUACGGGAGGCAGCAGUAGGGAAUCUUCAGCAAUGAACGAAAGUCUGACGGAGCAACGCCGCGGGAGUGAUGAAGGCUUUCCGGUCGUAAAACUCUGUGGUUAGGGAAGAACAAGUGCUAGUUGAAUAAGCUGGCACCUUGACGGUACCUUAACCAGAAAGCCACGGCUAACUACGUGCCAGCAGCCGCGGUAAUACGUAGGUGGCAAGCGUUAUCCGGAAUUAUUGGGCGUAAAGCGCGCGCAGGUGGUUUCUUAAGUCUGAUGUGAAAGCCCACGGCUCAACCGUGGAGGGUCAUUGGAAACUGGGAGACUUGAGUGCAGAAGAGGAAAGUGGAAUUCCAUGUGUAGCGGUGAAAUGCGUAGAGAUAUGGAGGAACACCAGUGGCGAAGGCGACUCUCUGGUCUGUAACUGACACUGAGGCGCGAAAGCGUGGGGAGCAAACAGGAUCAGAUACGCCGGCACUCCACGACGUAAACGAUCACUGCUAGGUGUUAGAGGCUUUCCGCCCUUUAGUGCUGAAGUUAACGCGUUAAGCACUCCGCCUGGGGAGUACGGCCGCAAGGCUGAAACUCAAAGGAAUUGACGGGGGCCCGCACAAGCGGUGGAGCAUGUGGUUUAAUUCGAAGCAACGCGAAGAACCUUACCAGGUCUUGACAUCCUCUGAAAACCCUAGAGAUAGGGCUUCUCCUUCGGGAGCAGAGUGACAGGUGGUGCAUGGUUGUCGUCAGCUCGUGUCGUGAGAUGUUGGGUUAAGUCCCGCAACGAGCGCAACCCUUGAUCUUAGUUGCCAUCAUUAAGUUGGGCACUCUAAGGUGACUGCCGGUGACAAACCGGAGGAAGGUGGGGAUGACGUCAAAUCAUCAUGCCCCUUAUGACCUGGGCUACACACGUGCUACAAUGGACGGUACAAAGAGCUGCAAGACCGCGAGGUGGAGCUAAUCUCAUAAAACCGUUCUCAGUUCGGAUUGUAGGCUGCAACUCGCCUACAUGAAGCUGGAAUCGCUAGUAAUCGCGGAUCAGCAUGCCGCGGUGAAUACGUUCCCGGGCCUUGUACACACCGCCCGUCACACCACGAGAGUUUGUAACACCCGAAGUCGGUGGGGUAACCUUUUUGGAGCCAGCCGCCUAAGGUGAC